CUGGGAUUGCCGGGUUUAAACAAAGCUGUGAGUCACACACAGCCUGUAACUGCAGGGCCAGGAAGCUCUGCGGGAGAGGCCACGCCUCUCUCCCUGUGAAUCGCUGGCCCGGACAGGGGAGGGGCUGGCCCUUGCUAAUGAGCAAGUUGGUCAGGCGAGACAGGAACUUCAUUCCCCUCUGUGUCAGAAUCCCAGAAAUUAUGCCCCUUCUCUCACCAUGAACUGGCUAUCGAGUUCCUCGGGAGUUGUGCUAACUGCUUACCACCCCAGCGGCAAGGACCAGGUCGCUGGGGACAGCCAUGUAAAGGGAGGCGACGAAGCCACCUCCAGUCGCAGAUAUGGCCAAUACACCAUAAACCAAGAAGGCUCCACCAAAGUUCCCGAGAGGCCUCCAUUUGAUCGAUCGAGUUCUCAGGAUUCCUUGGAUGAAUCAAUGGAAGCCUAUUGGACAGAACUAGAAAACAUCAAGAGGUCGAAUGAAAAUCGCCAAGAAGGUCAAGAGGCCAUAGUUGUCAAAGAACCUGAUGAGGGAGAACUGGAAGAAGAAUGGCUCAAAGAAGCAGGUCUAUCCAAUCUUUUUGGAGAGUCUAUUGAUGACCCGCAGGAAAGCAUUCUGUUUUUAUCUACACUGACCCGGACUCAGGCAGCAGCUGUUCAGAAACGGGUGGAAACGGUCUCCCAGACCUUGAGGAAGAAAAACAAACAGCACCACAUUCGUGACGUCAGAGACAUAUUUGCUCAACAGAGAGAGGCACAAGAAAAACCUCCAGAUGACUCAGACUUGCGGUCAGUCAGAACAAACGAAAACAAAGGCCAAGGAAAAGAUGAUCAGCCAUCUAGUGGGGCUGUCGAUAGCAAGGAGCAGAUCUCACGGGUGCCUGAGGACACACCUGCCUCUGAAACAGACAUCAAUCUGGAGGUGUCAUUUGCGGAGCAAGCUGUCAAUCAGAAAGAGUUCAGUAAGGAGAGGACGCAGAAGAUCAGCAGCAACGACUCUUUGCCCAGUUUCAGACUGCCAAAAGAUAAAACAGGUACGACAAGGAUUGGAGACUUGGCACCCCAAGACAUGAAGAAAGUUUGCUCUCUAUCCCUGAUUGAACUCACUGCCCUGUAUGAUGUGUUGGGCUUGGAAUUCAAACAACAGAAAGCUGUGAAAAUCAAAACCAGAGACUCUGGUCUUUUUGGUAUUCCUUUAACGAUAUUGUUAGAACAAGAUCAAAGAAAAGUGCCUGGAACACGAAUACCCUUGAUCUUUCAAAAAUUAAUGGGAUCCAGCAAAUCUGCUAUAUGUGGAACAAGACACCAGGAGAGCUACUUGACCAAGAGUUGAUGCUGCAGUCCCGAGGAAGAAAGUUUCUUUGCAAAUCUCUGACUUUGCUUUUGCACCUUCACCUGAUGGGAGGAGGCGCAUCAUCCCACAGAGGCUGAUUUCUCGAAUUGAAGAAGGCAGUCUGGAAACCGAGGGCCUCCUACGGAUACCAGGAGCAGCCAUGAGAAUCAAGAAUCUUUGCCAAGAACUAGAAGCGAAAUUUUACGAGGGGACUUUCAAUUGGGAAAGUGUCAAACAGCACGAUGCGGCCAGCCUGCUGAAGCUCUUUCUGAGAGAAUUGCCCCAGCCACUGCUGAGCAUGGAGUAUCUCAAAGCCUUCCAAGCUGUCCAGAAUCUUCCAACCAGAAAGGAACAGUUGCAGGCUUUGAACCUCCUUGUCAUUCUUCUACCUGACGCAAACAGAGACACACUGAAGGCCUUGCUUGAAUUUCUCCAAAGAGUCAUAGAUAACAAAGAGAAGAACAAGAUGACAGCUGGGAAUGUAGCAAUGGUCAUGGCCCCAAAUCUCUUCAUGUGCCACACGCUGGGCUUGAAGUCCAGUGAACAGCGAGAAUUUGAAAUGGCAGCUGGGACAGCAAAUGUCAUGCACUUAUUGAUUAGGUACCAGAAAAUUCUAUGGACAAUCCCUAAAUUUAUUGUAAUCCAAGUGAGGAAACAGAAUAUUGAGAAUCAAAAGAAGGAAAGGAAAGCCAUGAAGAAAUUGCUGAAGAAAAUGGCUUAUGACCGGGAAAAACAUGAAAAGCAAGAUAAAACUGCAAAUGGUGCUGAUGUUCCUCAGGGAGUGAUUCGAGUGCAAGCUCCCCAUCUUUCAAAAGUUUCCAUGGCAAUACAGCUAACUGAAGAACUAAAAGCCAGCGAUGUGCUUGCCAGGUUUCUCAGCCAAGAAAGUGGGGUUGCCCAGACACUCAAGAAAGGAGAAGUUUUCCUGUAUGAGAUUGGAGGAAAUAUUGGGGAACGUUGCCUCGAUGACGACACACACAUGAAGGACUUGUACCAACUGAACCCGAAUGCCGAGUGGGUCAUAAAAUCCAAGCCAGUGUAGACGACAACCCCGAGGACGUGUCAUCAUUCUUGCUGGGUCGAGAGUGUAAAUAAAAGUAGCAGGUUUCUUAACUAUUCAGCUGCACCCAAUUAUUACAAAUUGAUACCCUCAAGCCUUAAAAUUAUAGAUUUUUUUUUGUGGCUUGCACAAUUGUUGUUAUUAUUGUUAGAAAAUAAAUAUUGCUGGAGUAAGAAGAAAGGGGCUUAAUUAGCUUGUGGGCUGUUUAUACACAAUUUAAAAUGUGUUCAUAUGUGACAGCUUUCUAUUGUAUGAGAUAACUUCUUUACCACUUUUCCCCCCCUUUUGGUACUAAGUAUUGAACAAGAACUUUGCUCAUAGUGGGCAAAUGCUUUAAGACACCUAGUAAUAUCCCCAGCAGAUUAAAUACUCUUUACUAAUAAUAGAUUUACUAAUAGAGUUUUGGGCUAGUUACAUUUUAAGAAUAUUGUCUCCCCUUCCUUACCCCUCCCUAUUUAUCUUCCCUUAAUAAAAUUUGCUUUUUAACUAGAAAGAGAUAGUUAAUAGCAGGUAUAGAAAGCCAUGAAGGAAAAGAUAACUCAGCAGUAUUCUUGUUACCACAAAAUGUUAGUACUCAUGGCUUUGAAUCAUCUGUCUAAACAACGCAGGCAGUUGUUUUUUUUUGAGCUUAUUGGACUUAUGUGCACAAAGCUGUACCCAUCGUCAAGACCCAGACUGCCAGGACCUUCUAAUUAUCACCAAAGCAUUAAAUGUUUAAACACUCAGGAGAAACAAUAUGGAGCCACACGGACUAACUGAGUCAUCUAUGACCACAAUGGGAAAAGCUAGAUCACUUUAUGUGUACAACACUCUUUCAGAUAGAAUCUGAAAAAUCACAUAUCAAGUUACUUGGCAACAUUAUACACAGCAUAAUAGUACAACCUGGAACAAUUGGAGAAUACAUUGUAAAAUGCCACUUUCCCUCCUUUCAGAGUAAGUCUUCAGGGUAUGACAAUCAUUUAUGUGAACAAGCUUUUGUCGGUGUGUGUAUUUUAAAGAAUCUGAGUCAGUUUGUUAAGAUGCUGUGCAAAGUAUUAUCCCCAGGGCUUUUUGUGCACAGACCACACUGUGACAGAACACAGACCUCUGCUGUAAAUAAGAGAAAUGAAAUAAGAGCAAUGUUCACUAUUUCAUAAGGGUAGAGUGUCACUGACGAAAGAUGGCAUGUGUGGAUGAGCCACUGGCAUAUGAUGACACUGUUCAUAGUUCUUUAGGGGAAGCCAAACACACGUCCUCAGAAGCUCUUGAUGCCGCUCUAGGAAAGAAAGUGCUGUUCAUGAGAACAGGGAAGUGUUGAGCAUACAAUGACGAGAGCAGCCUGUGGAUGGGUGCUUUGGUAGCACUAGGAAUGGGUGCUGUGGUUAUGCCAUGGGGAUUCAUUCGUGCCAUUGCUUUUUGUAUUUAAAGAAAUGUUAUAAUUAAAUGGAUUUUUCUAAACAAUCUUCUCUUGGAAUUAUUACAUUACAGGGGUAUGUUCACGAGUCUAUGUUUGUCCUUUUAAAUUAUUUUAAUAAACAGUCUAUUUUCAAUGUAA